rnacentral:rRNA from 1 species
AUUGAACGCUGGCGGCAGGCCUAACACAUGCAAGUCGAGCGAGCGGCGGACGGGUGAGUAAUGUAUGGGGACUGCCCGAUAGAGGGGGAUAACUACUGGAAACGGUGGCUAAUACCGCAUACUAUCGGAUAACCCAUAUGGGAUUAGCUAGUAGGUGGGGUAAAGGCUCACCUAGGCGACGAUCUCUAGCUGGUCUGAGAGGAUGAUCAUCAAGACUGGAACUGAGACACUGUCCAGACUCCUACGGAGGCAGCAGUGGGGAAUAUUGCACAAUGGGCGCAAGCCUGAUACAGCCAUGCCGCGUGUAUGAAGAAGGCCUUAGGGUUGUAAAGUACUGUCAGCGGGGAGGCGUGACCCGCAGAAGAAGCACCGGCUAACUCCGUGCCAGCCGCCGCGGUAAUUC